rnacentral:snRNA from 1 species
AGGCCUUAGAAGUCCUUUUGGCUAAGAUCAAAGUGCAGUAUCUGUUCUUAUCAGCUUAAUCUCCGGUACAGCUUCCAAGGCGAGAUUAAACUGAUUUUUGGAAAAUUGUCCUCCUUGCUCUGUCAGAAUAUAAGCCCAAUUUUUACCUACUUGCCAUUCCAGAAUAGAAACCUGACU